UACGGAAGGCAGCAGUGGGGAAUAUUGCACAAUGGGCGAAAGCCUGAUGCAGCUAUGCCGCGUGUAUGAAGAAGGCCUUAGGGUUGUAAAGUACUUUCAUCGGGGAGGAAAAACAAAACUAAUAAUUUUAUUUCUUGACGUUACCCGAAAAAGAAGCACCGGCUAACUCCGUGCCAGCAGCCGCGGUAAUACGGAGGGUGCUAGCGUUAAUCAGAAUUACUGGGCGUAAAGAGCACGUAGGUGGUUUUUUUAAAGUCAGAUGUGAAAUCCCUGGGCUUAACCUGGAACUGCAUUUUGAAACUGAAAUACUAGAGUAUCGUAGAGGGAGGUAGAAUUCUAGGUGUAGCGGUGAAAUGCGUAGAUAUCUGGAGGAAUACCUGUGGCGAAAGCGGCCUCCUAAACGAAUACUGACACUGAGGGUGCGAAAGCGUGGGGAGCAAAACAGGGAUUAGAUACC
rnacentral:rRNA from 1 species